rnacentral:lncRNA from 1 species
AGACAACAGCGUGCCGAGCAGCUCCGGGGUGCACUGUGCCUCCUCCCAGGGAGGUUCCUCUCCGUGCCCCCCGGCCAUCACAGCGCAGGCAGCUGAGCCCGGCUGCAUCCCGCUUGGGACGUUCACUCUGAAGCGUAAUGAGGACCUUGAGCCUUCUGGAGCAGAGCUCUGCAACCCGGGGCACCCCAUCCCUGUCCCCCCCCCAGCAGCGCAGUGCUGGGACGUAUGGCAGAGCCUGCAGUGCCUCUCCUGACACUGUCGAUGUCCGUGGGACGGCCGUGACUCCCGCUGAGGGCAGAGCUCUGGCUGCAGAUCCCAGCUUGGGAGGCUCCAGAUUUGCUGCUCCCCACGCAAGGAUGGUGGAACGCGGAGCGUGGAGCUGCUGGGGGCCACAGUGGGGCAGCAGGAGCAGCUCCAGCUCUGUGUGCACCGAGGAUGUGGCUGCCAGGUGUUGGGAGGGCACAGUGGGGACCUCCGAGGAGGAGGAGGAGGAGGAGGAUGGCAGCGGGCAGGAUGGGGCCCCGCUCCUGUGGCAGUGCCCCUGGCAGGACAUGUCCCCAGGGCUGAUGAGGAGGGGGAGUCUGGAGUCGCUGGGAGCCAGGAUAUCCAGGCUGAGCCAGAGUGGGGCUGUGACCCCCUGCCCGGCCCCCUCCGGGCACCCAGCGCAGGGCAGGGGGGAUGCAUCCCACUGGGGCUCAAGCUCCAGGGCAAAGCCCUCAGUCACCACUGUGCAUGGUGGGGAUGGGGACGCUGGACAUCUCCGGAGACCCUCAGGCAGCUCAGCCAGCAGGAGCAGGGCCAGGGCCAUGGGACACUGCAGAUGGCAGGAGCCACCAGCACGCCGGGGGUGGCAUGGAGGGGACGUCACCCUCACUGCAGAGAAGGAAGGAGAUGGCGACGGGCGGAGGAGAGCUCUCUGCACCAAAGCAGCAGUGGGACCCACCAGGAGAUGCAGCCCCUGGGCAGAGGGGCAGCACGAGGUGUCCUGCCCAGGGCAUGCAGCCAAGCCCCGGUGGCAGCGUUGGAAGCAGAAGGCCAUCCUGUCCCAUAGGCUGGCAGCGCUGCGCCGGGCCCUGAGGAGCAGCCAGGAGGGGAUGCAGGAGCCAGGAGCUGGAGCUCAGGGCAUGCAGAGCGAUGGGGAUGGGGCCAGGGCACGUGCGUGGGAUUGUGUGGAUGUGGAGGAGGUGGUGAGCACUCUGAGAUGGGCAAAGGGGGGUGGCAGAGGGACAGGUUGGGGGGCAGCAGGGCAGGGGCUGGGCUGGCCAUGCCAUAAGAAGGGAG